AACGGUCUAUACCUGCGGUACCUGCGGAGGGAUCAUUACAUGGCGGAGAAGGUGGGCAACCUGGCCAACAUCCAGGUUGUGAUGCCUUCACGCUCUUCCACCCUUGUCUAUUUGCACCUUCUGUCGUUCCCUCGGCGGGUUUCGACCCGCCGGCGGCAACAUUGAAAAACCCUUUUUGCAGUUAGCAUUCAAUUCUUCUGAUCAAAUAUUAAAUCAUUACAACUUUUAACAACGGAUCUC
rnacentral:misc_RNA from 1 species